rfam:Myotis lucifugus cont2.16366, whole genome shotgun sequence.
GGUGGUUCUCGGGUGACGCACCCCGAAUCGGGCUCCCUCCCCUCUGUUUCCAGGUGCAUCACCCAAGAAUUGCA